rnacentral:rRNA from 1 species
CCUACGGGGCGCACCAGUAGGGAAUCUUCGGCAAUGGACGAAAGUCUGACCGAGCAACGCCGCGUGAGUGAAGAAGGUUUUCGGAUCGUAAAACUCUGUUGUUAGAGAAGAACAAGGACGUUAGUAACUGAACGUCCCCUGACGGUAUCUAACCAGAAAGCCACGGCUAACUACGUGCCAGCAGCCGCGGUAAUACGUAGGUGGCAAGCGUUGUCCGGAUUUAUUGGGCGUAAAGCGAGCGCAGGCGGUUUCUUAAGUCUGAUGUGAAAGCCCACGGCUCAACCGUGGAGGGUCAUUGGAAACUGGGGGACUUGAGUGCAGAAGAGAGAGCGGAAUUCCACGUGUAGCGGUGAAAUGCGUAGAGAUGUGGAGGAACACCAGUGGCGAAGGCGGCUCUCUGGUCUGUAACUGACGCUGAGGCGCGAAAGCGUGGGGAGCAAACAGGAUUAGAUACCCGCGUAGUC